rnacentral:rRNA from 1 species
GAUGAACGCUGGCGGCGUGCCUAACACAUGCAAGUCGAGCGAUCUUCUUCGGGAGAGAGCGGCGGACGGGUGAGUAACGCGUGGGUAACCUGCCUCAUACACAUGGAUAACAUACCGAAAGGUAUGCUAAUACAAGAUGAUAUAAGAGAUUCGCAUGGAUUUCUUAUCAAAGCUUUUGCGGUAUGAGAUGGACCCGCGUCUGAUUAGCUAGUUGGUAAGGUAAUGGCUUACCAAGGCGACGAUCAGUAGCCGACCUGAGAGGGUGAUCGGCCACAUUGGAACUGAGACACGGUCCAAGCUCCUACGGGAGGCAGCAGUGGGGAAUAUUGCACAAUGGGCGAAAGCCUGAUGCAGCAACGCCGCGUGAGCGAUGAAGGCCUUCGGGUCGUAAAGCUCUGUCUUCAGGGACGAUAAUGACGGUACCUGAGGAGGAAGCCACGGCUAACUACGUGCCAGCAGCCGCGGUAAUAC